CGUACUUUGCUUCUUCCUGCUGAAGAGGUUUACAACCCGAAGGCCGUCAUCCCUCACGCGGCGUCGCUGCAUCAGGCUUUCGCCCAUUGUGCAAUAUUCCCCACUGCUGCCUCCCGUAGGAGUCUGGGCCGUGUCUCAGUCCCAGUGUGGCCGGUCGCCCUCUCAGGCCGGCUACCCGUCGUCGCCUUGGUGAGCCACUACCUCACCAACAAGCUGAUAGGCCGCGGGCUCAUCCUGCACCGCCGGAGCUUUACACCAUCCACCAUGCGGCAGACGGUCAUAUCCGGUAUUAGACCCCGUUUCCAGGGCUUGUCCCAGAGUGCAGGGCAGAUUGCCCACGUGUUACUCACCCGUUCGCCACUAAUCCCCGCCCGAAAGCGGUUCAUCGUUCGACUUGCAUGUGUUAAGCACGCCGCCAGCGUUCGUCCUGAGCCAGGAUCAAACUCUANGGAGGUGAUC
rnacentral:rRNA from 1 species